rnacentral:lncRNA from 1 species
UUGUCCAAUACAAUUAUUGAGCUCGAUCUCUUGUUUUACAGUUCAAUUAACGUUGCACCUGCCAAGGUAUGCAUAUGCCAAUCAUCGCAGAUAUGUAAUGCUAGCUAACUGAGUCUGCAUGGGACAAAGUUGAGCACCGCUCGGUGCACUGAUUGCAACAAACAGAAUGAGCUCCAGUAGAGUAGAGUGGAAUUGGCAUCGUCGGCGACCACUCUACCGCAUGCAUGUGUUUCUGCAGAAAUGGCCAUAGUAGUGCAAAAACCGUGAAAUCAAAAGUCCUGAUCCCUCCUAUGCCAACAACAACCAUGCUGGUCAUAGCCAGGGAGUGCUAUACUCUGCCUCUCCAUGAAGCGUUGCUCUUUCUCUAGCUAUCUCUCAGCCUGCAGAAUUUCUUGCUCUUCAUCUUCAUGUAAUCUUUGAUAUAUCCAACUCCUUUGUUGUUUGAGAUGUGAAUUAAACCAUCUGGUUUAUUUGAGAAGGAUCGAGACAGCACAGUCUAGAUUUGGGCCUCAAGUUUUGAUAUUCAGAUUACACUACAUCUAAGAAUCAGACUACACAAGAUUUCAGAUUUCUCAUUCCAGAGUU